rnacentral:rRNA from 1 species
AGCGAACGCUGGCGGCAGGCCUAACACAUGCAAGUCGAACGAACUCUUCGGAGUUAGUGGCGGACGGGUGAGUAACACGUGGGAACGUGCCCUUAGGUUCGGAAUCACUCAGGGAAACUUGUGCUAAUACCGAAUGUGCCCUUCGGGGGUAAGAUUUAUCGCCUUUUGAUCGGCGCGCGUCUGAUUAGCUAGUUGGUGAGGUAAAGGCUCGCCAAGGCGACGAUCAGUAGCUGGUCUGAGAGGAUGAUCAGCCACAUUGGGACUGAGACACGGCCCAAACUCCUACGGGAGGCAGCAGUGGGGAAUCUUGCGCAAUGGGCGAAAGCCUGACGCAGCCAUGCCGCGUGAAUGAUGAAGGUCUUAGGAUUGUAAAAUUCUUUCAGCGGGGACGAUAAUGACGGUACCCGGAGAAGAAGCCCCGGCUAACUUCGUG